GUAACGCCUCGACUGUCCCUACUA
rnacentral:siRNA from 1 species